rnacentral:rRNA from 1 species
UACGUAGGGUGCAAGCGUUGUCCGGAAUUAUUGGGCGUAAAGAGCUCGUAGGCGGUCUGUUACGUCCGCUGUGAAAACCCAGGGCUUAACCCUGGGCUUGCAGUGGAUACGGGCAGACUAGAGGCAGGUAGGGGAGAAUGGAAUUCCCGGUGUAGCGGUGAAAUGCGCAGAUAUCGGGAGGAACACCGGUGGCGAAGGCGGUUCUCUGGGCCUGACCUGACGCUGAGGAGCGAAAGCGUGGGGAGCGAACAGGAU